AUUUUUAUUUUUUUGCUGUUAAAAGAUCCUCCUUUGGAUUUCUGCUUGGAACGACCGGUCCGCCUCUGGGGGUGUCCUUUGCCUCUCGUUGGCUCUCUCUUGGGGAACGUUUGGCUCCUUUGGGGGUGGCGGAACCCACACUUUCUUUUUAUUGAAAUUAAGUAGUUUCACCCAGGCUUUUGCCUUGACUUGACUUGCUGGAAAGAAAUGAUAGGACCGCUUCCCUACCCUGUUGGUUUGUCGAGAGGAAGUAAUGAUAAAGAUGGAUAGUGAGGGUCGUUCUCACUUAACCGUAAAAGGUGAAAUCCUUUUUAUUUGUUCCGACGGACUACUGACGAGCCCUUUGCCGAGGAUGUUUUCAUUGAUCAUGAACGAAAGUCGGGGGAUCGAGGACCACCAGAUACCGCCCUCCUCCUAACCAUCAACCACGCCGACUACCCAUUGGGGGUCGGUAUUCUUAUGACUCCUUCCCCACCUUACGAGAAAUCAAAUUUUUUGUGCUCUGGGGGGAGUAUGGCGCGAGGCUGUCACUUAAAGAAUUUGAAGGAAGGCACCACCACGAGUGGCGCCUGCGUCUUAUUUGUCUCACAUGGGUAAACUCCCCACGUCCAGACAUGGAAGGAUUGACGAAAGGAUACUCUUUCUUUAUUCUAUGGGGGGGGGGGGGGGGGCCCCUCCUUAGUUGCGGGAAUGGAUCUGGCGGGUUGUUUUCUCAAAAAAGACAUACACGCGCGAAAAAACAGCGGAGAAACUCACCUGCCCCGGACGCUCUGAGAGAGAUUUGCUUUUCUUAUUUCGGGAAUUUAAGGGCGAGACAGGUUC
rnacentral:rRNA from 1 species